rnacentral:tRNA from 1 species
GUCGCCCGAUCAGCCUCCACCACCAGCGGAUGAACAACCCUGACAUUGACAUAGCGCUCCCAUUGAGGGCAACGGUUUCCUAAACCGUGUGUCGCAGGUUCGAUUCCUGCCGGGGGCACCA